rnacentral:rRNA from 1 species
UACGGAGGGUGCAAGCGUUGCUCGGAAUCAUUGGGCGUAAAGCGUACGCAGGCUGUUCGUUAAGUCGGGUGUGAAAUCCCGGGGCUCAACCCCGGAACUGCGCCCGAAACUGGCGAGCUUGAGUGCGGGAGAGGGGGAUGGAAUUCCGCGUGUAGCAGUGAAAUGCGUAGAUAUGCGGAGGAACACCGAUGGCGAAGGCAAUCCCCUGGGCCUGCACUGACGCUCAUGCACGAAAGCGUGGGGAGCAAACAGG